GACGAACGCUGGCGGCGUGCUUAACACAUGCAAGUCGAACGGAAAGGCCCUGCUUUUGUGGGGUGCUCGAGUGGCGAACGGGUGAGUAACACGUGAGUAACCUGCCCUUGACUUUGGGAUAACUUCAGGAAACUGGGGCUAAUACCGGAUAGGAGCUCCUGCUGCAUGGUGGGGGUUGGAAAGUUUCGGCGGUUGGGGAUGGACUCGCGGCUUAUCAGCUUGUUGGUGGGGUAGUGGCUUACCAAGGCUUUGACGGGUAGCCGGCCUGAGAGGGUGACCGGCCACAUUGGGACUGAGAUACGGCCCAGACUCCUACGGGAGGCAGCAGUGGAGAAUAUAGCACAAUGGGCGGAAGCCAGAUGCAGCAACGCCGCGUGCGGGAUGACGGCCUUCGGGUGGUAAACCGCUUUCGCCUGUGACGAAGCGUGAGUGACGGUAAUGGGGAAAGAAGCACCGGCUAACUACGU
rnacentral:rRNA from 1 species